AGCAGAGUGGCUUAGUGGAAAAAGCACUGGCUUGGGAGUCAGAAGGUCAUGGGUUCUAAUCCCAGCUCCGCCA
rnacentral:tRNA from 1 species